rnacentral:rRNA from 1 species
UACGUAGGGUGCAAGCGUUGUCCGGAAUUAUUGGGCGUAAAGAGCUCGUAGGCGGUCUGUCGCGUCGGAUGUGAAAAUCCAGGGCUCAACCCUGGACCUGCAUUCGAUACGGGCAGACUAGAGUUCGGUAGGGGAGACUGGAAGUUCCUGGUGUAGCGGUGAAAUGCGCAGAUAUCAGGAGGAACACCGGUGGCGAAGGCGGGUCUCUGGGCCAUUACUGACGCUGAGGAGCGAAAGCGUGGGGAGCGAACAGG